rnacentral:rRNA from 1 species
GAUGAACGCUGGCGGCGUGCCUAAUACAUGCAAGUCGAGCGAACAGACGAGGAGCUUGCUCCUCUGACGUUAGCGGCGGACGGGUGAGUAACACGUGGAUAACCUACCUAUAAGACUGGGAUAACUUCGGGAAACCGGAGCUAAUACCGGAUAAUAUAUUGAACCGCAUGGUUCAAUAGUGAAAGACGGUUUUGCUGCAACUUAUAGAUCGACCCGCGCCGCAUUAGCUAGUUGGUAAGGUAACGGCUUACCAAGGCAACGAUGCGUAGCCGACCUGAGAGGGUGAUCAGCCACACUGGAACUGAGACACGGUCCAGACUCCUACGGGAUGCAGCAGUAGGGAAUCUUCCGCAAUGGGCGAAAGCCUGACGCGGCAACGCCGCGUGAGUGAUGAGUCGAUGCGGAUCGUAAAACUCUGUUAUUAGGGAAGAACAAAUUGAUAAGUAACUAUGCACUGCUUGACGGUACCUAAUCAGAAAGCCACGGCUAACUACGUG